rnacentral:lncRNA from 1 species
GCCAAACCUUGUGCACUGAAACUGUGGGCUCUCAGUUCCACAUUUCUGCAUACAGAUGGCUCAAUGUGCUCUUCUGCUUGAAGCUGGCUGAGGACACCUGGGCAGAUGAGAGCAAGCAGAGCAUGGAGUAUGCUGGCCCUUCUCCACGUGGGAGCAGUUACUUAGGAUAAAUCUGGGAAACAUGGUCCUUGAUAGCAAGGUCGGCUGAGAGGCACUGAGUCAGCAGCACGAUGUGGAGAUGAAACAUACCUGCAGAAGGGCGUUUUGGAAAGUCCUGCAAUUCUGCCAGAACUGCGCGUGAUGGAGGAUAAUGAGUCCUUCUAAAAAUAGCAGCAGCACCUCCUCAGAGGGUUACUGGGGCAGCUGCUGGAGCUCAGAAGAGGCUGUAAUUCAUAUGCUGAAGCCACACAGGGACGUUUGGGCUUUGUAAUUCCUGUGCCAUAAAGCAAAAGAAGCAAAAGUUGUAUCUGAAGAGCCCACAGAAAUUCAGAGGAUGAGGACAUUCCACUCCUGCUGUGCUCGUCAUGGAAGGAAGCACCACUGUAACCCAGGGGAUGGCACUGAGGAUUCUGUUGGCGCACACAGCACACCUUGCAGAAUAAAACCCAGAAUGGCAGCAGAGCAGCUGAUGGCCGUGGGAGCGGCUCAGCCUCACCGAGGGGUUCUGUUUCCUGGGACAAGAACGGGUGCAGCCUCCAGAGCUCCACUGCGAUAAUGCAAGCCAUGGGCACGGGCUGGGAGUGCAGCGUGACCCCGUGGGAACUUCCUGAGGGAAAGCAAGUUUGAGGGAGGGGCAAAGCGCAGGUUCAGCCCCUCUCUGCACUCACAGUGCUCCUCACAGCAGCAUCUAUACAGAAGCACUCCGCAUUUCCCAGGGAGAGGCCCUUACCGCAGCACCCCGUGCUUAGCCCACGACGCUGGCAGCUGUCCCCCCAUGUGUGAGCUCCUCCCCACCGGCCCCAUCCCAGCACCCCCAUCUGUUGGGCCCCAGCCUUCCCCUGGUCUCCUCUUACUCUGAAUUGCAGCUCUGAUUGCACAGCUUUAUGCUCUUGCAGCGCUUUGCUGUUGGAACAAUUUCUUGCCAAAAGCACAGCACGGUGCUGUGCCUUCCUGCUCCCCCCGGCUGCCAUCUGCCACCCAGCAUAAAGCAAACGUGGGGCUGCUGCUGCCCAUCUGCUCACCAUAGAGUCAACCGAGCAGCCUUCCUCCCGCCUGCAGCAGCCACUGCACCGGAGGCUGCAAUUGCUGGAAGUGCCAAGGAGACAGAGGGAGACACACAAUACCUUUCAUUGUGCUUCAUCUGUGUACUGCAGCACUGAGUCCAAGUGGGUCCUACUGCUUCCAUCCAUCCUGAGGGCUCUGCAGAGUACAGAGCAUACACCAGUUGCAAAAGAUCAACAGAGGACAGAGGCUGUGCACGUUGAACUCCUGCUGGUGCUGUAUGGCCACGCGCUGUGAGCAGCGCUCGCUUUGUUCUCUCCUUUCCUGCAGGAAGACCCACGGUGCUGGCACAUCGGUACCGGCGCUGGGGGACACACAUGGACAGAGAAGGGAAAGAAGAGACAAGCACUGAACCCCUGCUAGCUGCCUGCGAGCUCGCUGUGUAAGCAAUCUGCAGCAGAUGGUGCCCAGAUGUUCCCCAUCCCCAGAUGUUCCAGCUUUAUACAGAAGACAACUCCCGCUCUUCAGCUCUGGAGCGAGGGCACGAGGAGCACAGAAGGGUAAUUAGUGCUUACACACAAACACCAACACAGAGGCUGAUUCCUCCUUACAGUUUCACUACAGGACACAAACUUCUGACACCCACCAGAGCCUGAGCUAACUGUGCUGCCUGGAAGCCACACUGUUAUGGCUGCCCAGGGCUCCCUACUUGUACCGAUGGAAAAGUUACCUUCAUCUCCAUAGUAACAUAACACUGCUGCUUUCA